GCGGGAUUUCCGGUCUACGGAUACUUCCGCCUAGAGCCGAACGCUCAGGGUGCGUGAGGGCCUCUGGGUGCUGACAGACCGGCUGAAAGAAGAUCUCCUAUUUUGAAUUCCUGCUAUCUUAGAAUGAGUGACAUCUUGCCACUAGAUGUCAUUGGUAGAAGAGUUGAAGUUAACGGAGAAUACGCAACAGUGCGCUUUUGUGGUGCUGUUCCUCCUGUGGCAGGACUCUGGUUAGGAGUUGAGUGGGACAAUCCUGAGAGAGGAAAGCAUGAUGGGAGCCACGAAGGUACUAUGUAUUUUAACUGCAGGCACCCAACAGGAGGCUCUUUCGUUCGUCCAAACAUAGUUAAUUUUGGAGAAGACUUUCUUACUGCCCUUAAGAAGCGCUAUGUGCUUACAGAUGGACCUGAUGAUGAUGAAAAAUCGUGUUCCUUAAAAGUCGGAAGUAAACAAGUGCAAACUAUUGGAUUUGAGCAUAUUACAAAGAAGCAGAGUCAGCUGAGAUCACUGCAGGACAUUUCCCUGUGGAAGUGUGCCGUGAGUUGUGCUGGUGAACGAGGAAGAAUUGCUGAAGCCUGCCCCAAUAUUCGAGUUGUAGAUUUAUCCAAAAACUUGUUGUCAACUUGGGAUGAAGUGAUUCUUAUUGCAGAGCAGCUCAAAGACCUGGAGGCUCUGGAUCUCAGUGAAAAUAAACUGCAGUUUCCCUCUGACUCACCAACUCUAACUAGAACAUUUUCUACUCUGAAGACUUUAGUCCUGAACAAAACAGGAAUAACGUGGACUGAGGUGCUGCACUGUGCCCCUUCAUGGCCAGUCCUCCAGGAGCUUUACCUCAAGUCUAACGGUAUUUCCAUUUCAGAAAGGCCAGUGAAUGUCCUGCAGAACCUAAGGUUACUAGACCUUUCUUCCAACCCAUCAAUUGAUGAAAGCCAGCUGUGCCUGAUAGCAUAUCUCCCAAGAUUAGAACACCUCCUCCUUUCUGACAUUGGACUUUCUUCUAUACAUUUUCCAGAUGCCGAAAUUGGGUGCAAAACAUCCAUGUUCCCGGCCUUGACGUACCUCAUAGUCAAUGACAACCAGAUAUCAGAAUGGUCAUUUAUCAAUGAGCUGGAUAAAUUACAGAGCCUGCAGGCCCUGUCCUGCGCUAGAAACCCUUUGACCAAAGGAGACAAAGCAGAGGAGAUCAUCAUUGCCAAGAUUGGUCAGCUGAAGACCCUGAACAGGUGUCAGAUUCUUCCAGAGGAAAGGCGUGGUGCUGAGCUUGAUUAUCGAAAAGCCUUUGGAAAAGAAUGGAGAAAGGCUGGUGGACACCCAGAUCCAGACAGAAACAGGCCAAGUGCAGAGUUUCUCUCGGCCCAUCCGAGAUACCAGCUUCUCUGCUGCAGUACGUCCAGGUAAAUAUGGUGCACCUGAAGAUGAGGAGCUCAAAACACAGCAGCCAUUCAUGCUAAAAAAUCAGCUACUAACACUGAAGAUAAAAUGCUCAAAUCAACCUGAACAACAAAUAUUAGAAAAGCAGUUGCCAGACUCCAUGACAAUUCAAAAGGUAAAGGGACUGCUGUCACGUCUUCUCAAAGUUCCUGUGUCAGAACUUCUGUUGUCCUACGAAAGUUCCAAGAUGCCGGGCAGAGAAAUCGAACUAGAAAAUGACCUGCAGCCAUUACAGUUUUAUUCUGUGGAGAAUGGAGACUGCCUACUGGUGCGCUGGUAGCAGGCCAACCGUGAGAGUUAAGACUGGAAUGUAUACACCAGAAACAGAACCUCUGCCCUCACAAAUGAUGUUGUUUUGUUGGGAAAAGACCAUUCGGUUGUUUAUUAAUAGAAUAAUAAAGGCUUUGAUUACUA